UACGUAGGGUGCAAGCGUUGUCCGGAAUUAUUGGGCGUAAAGAGCUCGUAGGCGGUUUGUCGCGUCGGGAGUGAAAUCCACUGGCUUAACUGGUGGCUUGCUUUCGAUACGGGCAGACUGGAGGUAUGCAGGGGAGAACGGAAUUCCUGGUGUAGCGGUGAAAUGCGCAGAUAUCAGGAGGAACACCGAUGGCGAAGGCAGGUCUCUGGGCCACUACUGACGCUGAGAAGCGAAAGCAUGGGGAGCGAACAGG
rnacentral:rRNA from 1 species